rnacentral:misc_RNA from 1 species
UGUGGGAGCGAGCCUGCUCGCGAUGGCGUCGGUUCAGUUGGCAUCGAUGUCGACUGACAUUGCGCUAUCGCGAGCAGGCUCGCUCCCACA